GGAGUGAAUAGUACAGUAUUUUAAUCUUUUAUUUCAUAUUGCAUGUGCUUUAUAUAUUUAUUCUAUAUUUAAAAUUGUGUGUGCUGUUUUCUAUGGGCUUGAUUAUUUCUAUUGUACUGCAUGAUCAUGUGUGAUGACUAUUUAAUUGCAUGGAGUUUUGUUCGACAUUGAAUCAAACUUUCCUGAUGACACCUCCCACUGCAUUAACUACCUGCAAAGCCAUUUGCUAACGCCAUUCCUACAGCCCUAUAAAAAGAGACUAUCAGACGUACCCGAGGGCUCUCGGAUUUGGGGGUGGAAACCCUGUCGAAAAGCCUCCUUCCUGGCGGGCAGCCACCUCCUGCAGCAGCACGUCCUCAUCUCUCGUCAUCCCAGCAGGUCCAGACAACCAAUAGGUCCAGACAACCAAUGACUCCAGAAGUCCGACUCUUCACUGAAGGAUGGAUCCUUCGAAGAGCACCUGAACAUUCAAAACACUCAGCCCAUGUAUCCCAAUUUUUUUUAAAGUGAUUUAGUGAACAGAAUUCCAAGAAAUGUCAUUCACUGGAGGUUUCCUCUGCUUAUUUGAUUUCAGUAUUUCCUCCACCAUGAGGGCUCGAGGAAGUUUGUGGCUUGAGUAAAACCCGGACUGGUCUGCGCCAUCUGAACUAUUCUCUAUCCACUCUCAACGAACUGGACUGCGAGAUUCUACCCACUCCCACACUCUGGCCGAUACAGUCGCAAACCCCGGGACAGGGCACAACAGACUAGAUUGAGUUGUACCCACUCCCACUCUCCGGCUGAUACAGUCACAAACCCCGGGACAGGGCACAACAGACUAGAUUGAGUUGUACCCACUCCCACUCUCCGGCUGAUUCGGUCGCAAAUACCGGAUGAAGUACUCUGGAUUGGGCUACUUGCACAGCACUUGAGUACUCAUGAAGCAGAUAGCAGAUAAGGUAGAGGAGAAACAAACCCUAGUUAGACGCUCUGCAAAACAAACUAGAGUUGAGAGGCCACUAAGGAAUAAAUACUGGUCUUUAACAUGGCUAAUCAGAACGACACCAAAAACAAAGGGGGGAGAAGAGUCACGGAAUGAACAGUAUUUUCAUAUUUAUUGUAUAUUGCAUGUGCUUUCUAUGGGCUUGAUUAUUUCUAUUGUAUUACAUGAUUGCGUGUGAUGACUAUUUGUUUGCAUGAACUUUCUUUGGACAUUGAACCAUUUCCUGAUGACACCUCCCACUGCCUUAACUACCUGCAAAGCCAUUUGCUAACAGUAUUCCUACAGCCCUAUAAAAAGAGACUAUCAGACGCACCCGAGGGCUCUUAGAUUUGGGGGUAGAAACCCUGUCGACCGCCUCCUUCCUGGCGGGCAGCCACCUCCUGCAGCAGCGCGUCAUCGUCUACAGUCAGUCCAAAGGGCCAGACAACCAACGACUUUAGAAGUCUGACUCUUCUGAUUGUGAUGGGCUUGUCUUCUUUCAAGAAAAAGAAAAGUAAAAAUAAUCACACAAGUUGGUGUGAAUGUGAUCCAACGAUUGGUUAAGAUGGUGGUACUGAGGACCCCUGUCUGUAUCCCUGACCUAUACAGAUUGUUCCCUAGACUGGGUGGCGUACUUGUUGGUGAUUUGGAAGGUGAUACCGGAGACCGAGAGGUGAUUGAGGCGAGACGUAGGUGAGGCAUCUCUGAAGGACGGAUCCUUCGAACAGCACCUGAACAGUAUCUGCAUGCCAUGCGGGCUCGGGGAAGCUGGUGACUGGAGAACAAAACAGGACUGGAGUCUGCCACCUGAAAUAUUCUCUAGCCGUUCCCAAAUGACUGGACUGAGUUUUUAGUUCCCACACCCCGUCAGAUUCGGUCGCAAACCUUGGAACAGUGCAUAACGGACUAGACUGAGUUCUAUGUUAAAAGAGAUUUUAUUAUUAUCAUUUGUAUUUCAAAUAAAUAUUGUAAUUUUCUACUUUCCUCUGACCCUCUGGUGUCUGUGUUGGUGUAGCCCAGGAUCCUAGAACCUCUAAUUCAUGGCUCUCCAACCCUGUUCCUGGAGGGCUACUGUCCUGUAGGUUUUCACUCCAACCCUAAUCUAGCGUACCUGAUUCUAAUAAUUAGCUGGUUGAUCAGCUGAAUCAGGUUAGUUACAUCUGGGGUUGGAGCGAAAACCUACAGGAGGUUUAGGUGUACCCCUAUCCUGAAGUCAAAUGACCUAGUGGCCUCCUGGGUGGAAUGUUAUUAAUAUUUUUCAUUAUUUUUAUUUAUUUUUUAAUGCAGAAUAUCCAGUGUUUCUAUGUCAAACGGUUUUAUUAUAUUUCAGUCUUCUGUGAUGUAGUGUAUAUAAAUACCUUUCAACUAUC